rnacentral:rRNA from 1 species
CGUGAGUAAUGCCUAGGAAUCUGCCUGGUAGUGGGGAUAACGUCCGGAAACGGGCGUAAUACCGCAUACGUCCUGAGGGGAUCUUCGGACCUACGCUAUCAGAUGAGCCUAGGUCGGAUUAGACUAUUGGUGGGGUAAAGGCCUACCAAGGCGACGUCCGUAACUGGUCUGAGAGGAUGAUCAGUCCACACUGAACUGAGACACGGUCCAGACUCCUACGGAGGCAGCAGUGGGGAAUAUUGGACAAUGGGCGAAAGCUGAUCCAGCCACUGCCGCGUGUGUGAAGAAGGUCUUCGGAUUGUAAGCACUUUAACGUUGGGAGGAAGGGCAGUAAGUUAAUACCUUGCUGUUUUGACGUUACCAACAGAAUAAGCACCGGCUAACUUCGUGCCAGCAGCCGCGGGUAAUACAAGGGUGCAAGCGUUAAUCGGAAUUACUGGGCGUAAAGCGCCGUAGGUGGUUUCAGCAAGUUGGAUGUGAAAUCCCCGGGCUCAACCUGGAACUGCAUCCAAAACACUGAGCUAGAGUACGGUAGAGGGUGGUGGAAUUUCCGUGUAGCGGUGAAAUGCGUAGAUAUAGGAAGGAACACCAGUGGCGAAGGCACCACCUGGACUGAUACUGACACUGAGGUGCGAAAGCGUGGGGAGCAAACGGAUUAGAUACCCUGGUAGUCCACGCCGUAACUAUGUCGACUAGCCGUUGGGAUCCUUGAG